AUAAACGCUGGCGGCGUGCAUAACACAUUCAAGUCGAACGGGAAUCGAAUGAUUGAGACUUCGGUUGAUAGAUUUCGAGGAUAGUGGCGGACGGGUGAGUAACGCGUGAGCAACCUGCCUUCAUGAGGGGGAUAACAGUUGGAAACGACUGCUAAUACCGCAUAACGUGCGUAGAUGGCAUCUGAAACGCAUCAAAGGAGCAAUCCGCAUGAAGAUGGGCUCGCGUCUGAUUAGAUAGUUGGUGAGGUAACGGCCCACCAAGUCGACGAUCGGUAGCCGGACUGAGAGGUUGAACGGCCACAUUGGGACUGAGACACGGCCCAGACUCCUACGGGAGGCAGCAGUGGGGAAUAUUGCACAAUGGGGGAAACCCUGAUGCAGCGACGCCGCGUGAGCGAAGAAGAUCUUCGGAUUGUAAAGCUCUGUCUUAGGGGACGAUAAUGACGGUACCCUGAGAGGAAGCCACGGCUAACUACGUG
rnacentral:rRNA from 1 species